AUUGAACGCUGGCGGCAUGCCUUACACAUGCAAGUCGAACGGUAACGGGCCUUCGGGUGCCGACGAGUGGCGAACGGGUGAGUAAUACAUCGGAACGUGCCCGAUCGUGGGGGAUAACGAGGCGAAAGCUUUGCUAAUACCGCAUACGAUCUACGGAUGAAAGCAGGGGACCGCAAGGCCUUGCGCGGACGGAGCGGCCGAUGGCAGAUUAGGUAGUUGGUGGGAUAAAAGCUUACCAAGCCGACGAUCUGUAGCUGGUCUGAGAGGAUGAUCAGCCACACUGGGACUGAGACACGGCCCAGACUCCUACGGGAGGCAGCAGUGGGGAAUUUUGGACAAUGGGCGCAAGCCUGAUCCAGCCAUGCCGCGUGCAGGAUGAAGGCCUUCGGGUUGUAAACUGCUUUUGUACGGAACGAAAAGCCUUCUUUUAAUACAGGAGGGUCAUGACGGUACCGGAGGAAUAAGCACCGGCUAACUACGUG
rnacentral:rRNA from 1 species